AGAGUUUGAUCAUGGCUCAGGAUGAACGCUGGCGGCGUGCCUAAUACAUGCAAGUCGAGCGAAUGGAUUAAGAGCUUGCUCUUAUGAAGUUAGCGGCGGACGAGUGAGUAACACGUGGGUAACCUACCCAUAAGACUGGGAUAACUCCGGGAAACCGGGGCUAAUACCGGAUAAUAUUUUGAACUGCAUAGUUCGAAAUUGAAAGGCGGCUUCGGCUGUCACUUAUGGAUGGACCCGCGUCGCAUUAGCUAGUUGGUGAGGUAACGGCUCACCAAGGCGACGAUGCGUAGCCGACCUGAGAGGGUGAUCGGCCACACUGGGACUGAGACACGGCCCAGACUCCUACGGGAGGCAGCAGUAGGGAAUCUUCCGCAAUGGACGAAAGUCUGACGGAGCAACGCCGCGUGAGUGAUGAAGGCUUUCGGGUCGUAAAACUCUGUUGUUAGGGAAGAACAAGUGCUAGUUGAAUAAGCUGGCACCUUGACGGUACCUAACCAGAAAGCCACGGCUAACUACGUGCCAGCAGCCGCGGUAAUACGUAGGUGGCAAGCGUUAUCCGGAAUUAUUGGGCGUAAAGCGCGCGCAGGUGGUUUCUUAAGUCUGAUGUGAAAGCCCACGGCUCAACCGUGGAGGGUCAUUGGAAACUGGGAGACUUGAGUGCAGAAGAGGAAAGUGGAAUUCCAUGUGUAGCGGUGAAAUGCGUAGAGAUAUGGAGGAACACCAGUGGCGAAGGCGACUUUCUGGUCUGUAACUGACACUGAGGCGCGAAAGCGUGGGGAGCAAACAGGAUUAGAUACCCUAGUAGUCC
rnacentral:rRNA from 1 species